CAUCUGUUCCCUGCACAGCCGGCCUGGCUCAGAGUGGCCAUGCAACCCAGCCAGACCUGGCCAUGGGGGCCCCCACCAAGGUGCCAAGACAUCCUGGCCUGGAAACCCUGGAGGCCACACAUAGUGUGUGAACUUAUUUCGAGGAAAAGCCCUCCCACUCCCCUAAGAACUGAAAGAGAGAAGAGGCUCUUGUUGCCAGCAAGAGGAAGGCAGGCUGGACAUCAGGAAGAACUUCCUCCUCAUAAAGUUUUGCCAAAGACUUAAUGGCUGGCCUGUCAAGAGCGGUGACAGAAGCUAUUAUGGAAACAAGAUGGGAAUAUUUUGGAGGCAGCAUCAACAGCACUGCCCAUUGCCAGGGCUCCAAGGACCAGAAGGAGGACAGUCAUACCUCCUGCCUGCCACCCCCAGGAAGGCCAUGUGCUCUGCCAGAGAGGUGCUGGGUCAUUGCGGAUUCAAGCCACUGACUGUGAAUUGAUCGCCUCUGAGGACGUUUUAAUUAACCGCCAGUUCCCAGAGCUGCCCCAUCCUUCCUUUCCCCAACCCCUCCCUGGUCUGCAGCCACUAUCGUCCCCAACACAGAAGCAAGAAGCAACCAGCCAACAGCGCAAUACAGUGAGAGGGACCGCUGGAGGAUUGUAGAUGGGGGACAAGCAGAGGAGAGGUUCCAGGACCCCGGUGGCAGCCUGAUCUGGCAGAUCUAGAUCUCUAAGGGGUCUUGCACUGGUCAUGGACUCAGGGCCUGAGAACCAGACCCAGUUCUGUAGCUGAUUGGUUACAUGAGCUUGGACAAACCCUUGGUUUUGAAAUGCCUCAACUUCUCACUCUAUAAAAUGGGAACAAGGCCAGGCGUGAUGGCUCAUGCCUGAAAUCCCCACAUUUUGGGAGGCCAAGGUAGGAGGAUAGCUUGAGGCCAGGAGUUCGAGACCAGCCUGGGCAACAUGGCAAGACUCCAUCUCAACAAAAAAUUAGCCAGAUGUGGUGGCACACGUCUGUACUCCCAGCUACUCAGGAGGCUGAGGUGGAAGGAUCUCUUGAACCCAGGAGUUCAAAGCUGCAGGAGCUACAAUGACACCACCGAACUCCAGCCUGGGCAACAGAUCAAGACCCUGUCUCUACAAAAUAAACAAAAUAAAAAUAAAGUGAGGUGGGAACAAUAGCAGGAAGUGCCCAUAAAACAUGUGCAAAGAUGCUUUCAGAGCUUCAAUAUCUUGGAAUCACUUUCCACAAUCCUCUGAAGCACCUUCUGCUUAAUCUUAUCUAACUCUCAAAUCAACUCCAAGAAAUGGCAUAAUUAUCUCCAUUUUAAUAGACAGGGAUCAGGAGACAGGGAGGAAGGCUGAAGUGGGCACACAAUACUAAUUUGCAGGAACAGGAUUGGAGCCCACAGUCUUCUCUCCACAACCAGAACCUGCCUUAGUAUGAGGGAUUCUUAUUAGACUAUCAGUCGUGACAGCUACCAUUACCUUAUACCAAAAGUUACACUAACCCAGAGCUUCUCCAACUUGACUGCACACAGGGAACUCCUGAGCAUCUUGUUGAAAUGCAGAUGCAGAUUCAGCAGGUCUGGGAUGGGGACUGAGAUUCUGUGUUUCUAGUAAGUACCAAAGUGAUACUGAUGCUGCUGGUUCAAAGACCACACCUUGAGUAUCAAGGUGCUAAUGCUUUAUCUCAUUUGGUUGGCACAAUAGCCAGUGAGACAGGCAUUAUUAUUAUCAUCCUUGCUUCACAGAGGACACUGAGGCUUAGAGAAAUGGAAUAAGUUCCUCACGAUCACAAUGCUAAGCAGAAGAACCAGGGUUAGGACCCAGGUCACCUGGCCAUAGUCUGCCCACUGGGCCCCAGUGCUAGACCAUCUAUCUCUCCAGCGUUUGCCUAAGAAGUCAAUGACCUGGAAUUAUGUGAGCCACACCAGGAGUGAGGUCCUGAGGAUGGGCAGGAGGGCUCAGAUGAUACAAGAGCAGAGGGCAUUAGGAAAUACAGGUUUCUUCAAGAGAAACCUUGGCCUCAGCAAGGGAGGAAACUGUAGUUUGGAAAGCAGGUGUUGCCAUAUCUAGAAGAGAGAGAUGCUGGUUCUGGAAACUUCUCUCGCUUUGAUGGGAGCGCUCUGAGCUGGGGAUGGUUAGCUUGGAAGAGAAGAAUUUUUAAGUGGACUGGCAAGAGGCCCUGGAGCCAGGAUGAGAAGGAGGAGCUCCAGCCUCGGGGACCGGCAACUGGGAGGACUUGCACUGGCUUCAGGCUCAGGGAAUGACCUCACAAGGGCCACAGAAGAAAAAAAUAUAAAUGUGAGAAAGUGAGCAGGCCUAGAAGGGGUGCAGGGAGAGGAAGACAAGAGCAAGGGUCACGCACUCAGAUGCCAACAGGUGCCAGGUAGGUGUCCAAAGUGAGUGAGGUGGGCCCGUGUCACCAGAGCUGAUUCUUCAAGUGAAGUGGGAAGUUCACACUCAACGGGAAAUCCCCCAUUUUUUCAAUGCUGCUUACCUUUUCCAAAAAAAAUCCACUUUUUUAUAUUGCCCAGUAUUUCAAAAAAUAUAUAUGUAAGAUUGUUCAGACCUAAUAAGAUAUGUCUAUGAGCAAGAUAGGCUCUUGGGUCACCAUUUUGCAACCUCUGGACCACAGCCAGCACAGGCUGGAUUUGGUGGGAAGGGGGAGUUUGUGGGAGUCCUGAGAGAGGAAGGGGACAGGUUUGAGGGACAGCAGCCAUGCAUGAUAGAUAUGAGAGAGAGAGAGAGAGAGAGAGAGAUGAUAGCAAAAAUUAGGGUUUUGCUGGCUGUGCGCAGUGGCUCACGUCUAUAAUCCCAGCACUUUGGGAGGCCAAGGCAGGAGGAUCACUUGAGGUCAAGAGCUCGAGAACAGCCUGGCCAACAUGGCAAAGCCCCAUCUGUACUGAAAAUACAAAAACUAGCCAGGCGUACUGGCACACAACUGUGAUCCCAGCUACUCAGGAGGCUGAGGCAAGAGAAUCACUUGAACCCAGGAGGCAGAGGCUGCAGUGAGCCAAGAUUGUGCCACUGCACUCCAGCCUGGGCAACAGAGCAAGACUCUGAAGACUCCAUCUAAAAAAUAAAAAUAAAAAAGAUGCAAUGCUGCUUCUUAUAAACAGAAACAGAAUCUUCUUUAGUGUUCUUCAGAAGACUUUGAUAAACAUUCCAGGGAUUUCUCCAUGUUUUGGCUCCCAGACUAGUGUGUCUUUUACUGUGACAACGAGCAGAGACUGAAAUGCAGCUGCUCACUCUUAUAUGGGUUCCACAAGAAGGCCAAACCACAGGAGGCUGCAGCCCAGAGGGACCACAAGCUUGCAGUGGAGGCAUUCCCAGGGCACCAAGAAGCAUGUCAGGACCCUGAGCCACCAAAGACCCACAGACACCAAGGGGAAAGGCCAUUAGGACAGAUUCCCAGUGACGGCUGCCCCCAGGCGGGGCAAGCAGGCUCCUCUUUGCAGGUACAGAUCUAAAGCAAAGGAUCUGAGCAGACAGAGUGGCAGGUAUAGGUGGGAAAUUCACCUUAUGGAUAGACAUGCAGGAGGAGGAAGAGGAGGAGAAGAGGGAGAAGGAGCAAGAAGAGGAAGAGCAGAAGGAGGAAGGAGAGCUAAGCGUUGUUGAGCACCAAGCACUACUUGCAUUGUUUCGUUGAAUCACCAUAACGUUUUUAGCACUUGAUCUUAUCCCCACUUUGCAGAUAAGGAAACUAAGUCUUGAGAAGAUAAAAUGGUUUAAAGGCACCUGCUGGAAGUGGCAGAAUAGGACUGUGAUUCCAGGCCUGUCUGGAUCCAGAACCCAGGCUCUUAACCAUUUAUGCGACAGAGGCCCUCAGCCCCUCCCCACCACGUAGAGCCACCUGCACAUCAGGCCACAGACUUGGCGCCCGACGUGCAGGUGGCUAUACUUGGGGGAGAGGGGCUGAGGGCCUAUGUCUCAUAAAUGUUCAUAUGACAAAACUGAGGCCACCAUAACCAGUUUUACUCUAAGCUGCCAGGCCCACCAAGUAGGGCCUAUAACAGCCAAGCACUGAAAAGACCCUGUAGCCUCUGUUAGGUAAGGGCUAGAGUUUGGGGCCCUCUCCUGGUACAGGACUAGGGUGCUUCCCAUACAUGAUGCCCCCAGGGACCUCUUUCCCACAAAGAACAAAACCAUAAAGCUCCAGACAGCCCAGGGGCCUCUUUCACGUGGCCAGGAAAUGCUGGAGAAAAACCCUCACUAGGUCCUCCCAGUCCCCAUCUGUCCUUGUCCCCGGCUCCCACUGUGCCUAUUCCCAGGCUACUGGGCUGCUUGAGCCCACACUGCCUGUAGCCACCCGCCUAGGAGCAUUAAUUGAAAAUUAAUCCGCUCGGUACGUGCCGGCGUGCAAAUCAAAGCUAAGUGUCUCAAUUAGGAAGAGAAAUGGAGUCGGGCACUCUUCUCAGAUGCUGGCUUAUUUAUGGGGAUAAUAUCAUUUUUAAUGAGGGAAGCUACUAAAAGGCACAACAAAUGCAACAUUUAAUAGAAAAAUAUUACAGCAUUCCAUCAGCAGAACACAGCCAGGAGAGUGGGUUCCAGGGAUGCAGGAGCACGCGGGUGUCUCUAUGGUUGUCCAAGCACCUUGUACAAGCAUGUGUGUGCACACGUGUCCCCAUGAGCCCUCGUGUCUGCAUGCACACUGUACACGGACGGCUGCAUGCAUCUCCUUCUCUGGAUAUGUGUGUAUGUGAAUAUUAGUGUCUGGGUCUGGUGUUUGGGGAGUAGUGAAGCUUUCCGCUGUUUUUGCUGCAAAAGAUGAAUUUCCCAUCUGCCGCCUAAAGAACUGUCAUUCUGGGCCCUGGGCCAGCCAAAUAAAAAUCUAAGGUAUUUCCCAAUACUAAGGAGUCCCGGUCCAUUUGGUCCCUGGAGAAGUGCAGGUCUCUGGCACCAGUCUCCAUGGAGGGUCUUCAUGUGCAAAUCAGACCCCUGGGCCCCAGCCUCCUCCACACUCCUCUUGCCACACAUGGGCUAUGGUUGUCUCGGCCCAGCACAUCGCUAACAACUGCAGGACAAGGCCCUCUUGUCAUCAUCCCACUGCCCCAAGCUGGCACUUGGGCUAGCUACCUGCUUUACCCUUGGUCUCAGCUUCAAAAGUCAAGGACUUUACUUCCCAGGCCAAGUCCACGUUCCUGGGCCUAUUUUCCCAUUCCUCCGCCUAGGUGCGGCACAUCCGUAGACCCGGGCUCUGCAGCUCCAACUCAGGAUGGUCUCGGCUCCAGCAACUGUGGAAUGGAGAAGUGAUUCCAUUGGGGUGGCCAGCUCAGAAUCUACACCGGCCUCACCCUAGCCCAUCAGAGAACACUUUUCCAGCCCGCAACACAGCAUCCACAUGUCCGUGCCUUUGCUCCCGUGGGACCCCUACUAGAAAGCACGUCCCAUAUCCUGCCUUCACUCCCAUGCUCAGAGCAGCACCUCACUAACCCAGCACUCCCCAAGGAAGCUUAGGUGACCACCUCACCGUCCUCAGACUCCUCCCGAGACCCUGGUGCCAUGCCUCACCCAUGGGAAUAAUAACAGGGCCUGCCUCACUAAGUGUGCUUGGUGCAUCUGCAUCAGCACAGGGCAUGGCCCAGAGUGGCUCACUGUUAGGACUAGUUUGACCGCGAUUAUGACCAGGUUAUAAUAUCCACCUCUGUUACCUCUUCCCACCCCAUACAAACCCUGGGAGGCACAGAAUGAGGAUUUUUCUCUACGUUUCUCCAAACCUUUUUGAAGGAACCUGAAGCUCAGAGAGAUUGAGACAUUUGCCAGAGGCUGCACAGCAGAUCUCAUUUUGAAUGAGGAGUAACAUCAAAAGAUUUGCAGAGGUUCCCCAGGGCACCAGAUCCCAAGUGUCCUGUACUCAAAACCCGGGCUCUCCCAUCACAGAAGAGGCUGGGGACUCUAAGCCAGGGACUCAGGUGUCACCAGGUUCUGUCUCCCAUCAGCUGGGUGACUCUGGACUUGUUACUUACCCUCUGUGUGUCAGUUUUUUCAUUGAUAAAAUGAAACAGGUGAUAACAGCACCUACUUCAUGGGGAUUUCUUUGUCAGGGUUAAAUGAGCUAAUACUCACAAAGCACUUAGAAUCAAGCCUGGCAUAUGAUAAAUGUUCAGUACGUAUUGAGAUGUCAUUACUAAUAUUAGGCCACCGUACCCCCAGAUCAUUCUCUCCCUGGCCAGGUAGCAAGAAUCAUCCAUCAAACAGUCUGUGAAGGUCCCCAAGGCAGGGCCUUCCCCUCCGUCAAAUCCCCAGCAUGGGAGCCAGUGUUACAUUCCUUAACCCGGAGAGUGCGUAUUCAUACAACGGUCAUCAGUCAUUGAGCUGUGGGCUUAUGUUGUACGCACUUUAUGUUUGUGCAUUUUACUUGAAUUUUUUAAGCAAAUAACAAUAAUCGUCAGGUAAACCAAGUGGAGGUCGGGGUGCAGUGCUCGGCAGAGCACUCACUGGGCAGUGGUAUUGGUGGCUACUGAUUUCAUGUCUGCCUCCUUCACAAGACCUUAUGCACCACGUGGGCAAGGAUGACAUCUGGUUCCUUCCCUGCACUGUCCCCAGCACCUAGAAAAAUGUCUGCGCAUGGCAGCUGAUGAAUUACCAUUGAAAGUGGGAGGGAGUUGAUGGGUACCGAGGCACGAAUGGAGAGGAGAAGAUAUCACACCUUCAGAGUGGCCACCUUGCUGCCCCCAUAGCUGGGGAGAGGUGGGCUCUUUGCUAAGUGGAGAUCUGAGUCCUUGAACCCUCAGUCUCAGGAGUGGAGACCCCCCAGCCCAGACCAAGAGCCUGAUUGGAGGCUCCCCCUCCCUCUCAGACCCCAGUACCUCCAGAUUGACGACAUUUGAAAGUUAUCUUCCUACAAAAGUCACUCUCC
rnacentral:lncRNA from 1 species